CCAGAGGGCCGGGCGGCUGCGGCGUGGCGGGUAACUUCCACGGCGAGGAAAGUCCGGGCUCCACGAAAUGACGGUGCCGGUUAACGACCGGCUGGAGUGAUCCAAGGGACAGUGCAACAGAAAGCAGGUCGCCCAAGGCUUCGGCCCUAAGACUUCGGUCGGGUGAAAUUGAAAGGGUGCGGUAAGAGCGCACCGCGUCUGCGGCAACGCAAGGCGGCACGGUAAACCCCACCGGGAGCAAGACCGAAUAGGGGCGGCGCGCGUUUUGUCCAGAAAUGGGCAACUCGCUAGGUCUGUUUCGACCGAGAUCGUCCGGGUUGGUUGCUUGAGGAACGGAGCAAUCCGUUCCCUAGAGGAAUGGUCGCCUAUCUCCGAAAGGAGUGGACAGAACCCGGCUUACAGGCCCUCUGGCAUU
rnacentral:RNase_P_RNA from 2 species